GACGUAGGAUGCGAGCGUUUAUUCGGAUUUAUUGGGCGUAAAGAGCGUGUAGGCGGCCUGGAAGGUCAGCUGUGAAAACUCGAGGCUCAACCUCGAGACGUCGGUUGAAACCACCUGGCUAGAGUCCGGAAGAGGAGUGUGGAAUUCCCGGUGUAGCGGUGAAAUGCGCAGAUAUCGGGGAAGAACACCCGUGGCGAAGGCGGCACUCUGGGACGGUACUGAACGCUGAGACGCGAAAGCGUGGGGAGCGAACAGG
rnacentral:rRNA from 1 species